rnacentral:rRNA from 1 species
GUAGGUGGUUUGAUAAGUCAGCGGUGAAAGUUUGCAUCUUAACUGUAAAAAUGCCGUUGAAACUGUCGGACUUGACUGUAAAGGAGGUAGGCGGAAUGCGUGGUGUAGCGGUGAAAUGCAUAGAUAUCACGCAGAACUCCGAUUGCGAAGGCAGCUUACUAAGCUACAACUGACACUGAAGCACGAAAGCGUGGGGAUCAAACAGGAUUAGAUACCCUGGUAGUCCACGCAGUAAACGAUGAUUACUAGCUGUUUGCGAUACACAGUAAGCGGCACAGCGAAAGCGUUAAGUAAUCCACCUGGGGAGUACGCCGGCAACGGUGAAACUCAAAGGAAUUGACGGGGGCCCGCACAAGCGGAGGAACAUGUGGUUUAAUUCGAUGAUACGCGAGGAACCUUACCCGGGUUUGAACGUAGGGAGACAGGAGUGGAAACAUUCUUUUCAGCAAUGACUGCCUACGAGGUGCUGCAUGGUUGUCGUCAGCUCGUGCCGUGAGGUGUCGGCUUAAGUGCCAUAACGAGCGCAACCCUUAUUUCCAGUUACUAACAGGUGAUGCUGAGGACUCUGGAGAGACUGCCAGUGUAAGCUGUGAGGAAGGUGGGGAUGACGUCAAAUCAGCACGGCCCUUACAUCCGGGGCGACACACGUGUUACAAUGGUAAGGACAAAGGGCAGCUACCGGGCGACCGGAUGCGAAUCUCUAAACCUUAUCUCAGUUCGGAUCGGAGUCUGCAACUCGACUCCGUGAAGCUGGAUUCGCUAGUAAUCGCGCAUCAGCCAUGGCGCGGUGAAUACGUUCCCGGGCCUUGUACACACCGCCCGUCAAGCCAUGGGAGCCGGGGGUACCUGAAGUUCGUAACCGCAAGGAUCGACCUUGGGUAAGAACUGGUGA